rnacentral:rRNA from 1 species
UGGGGAAUAUUGCACAAUGGGCGCAAGCCUGAUGCAGCCAUGCCGCGUGUGUGAAGAAGGCCUUCGGGUUGUAAAGCACUUUCAGCGGGGAGGAAGGCGUUAAGGUUAAUAACCUUGGCGAUUGACGUUACCCGCAGAAGAAGCACCGGCUAACUCCGUGCCAGCAGCCGCGGUAAUACGGAGGGUGCAAGCGUUAAUCGGAAUUACUGGGCGUAAAGCGCACGCAGGCGGUCUGUCAAGUCGGAUGUGAAAUCCCCGGGCUCAACCUGGGAACUGCAUUCGAAACUGGCAGGCUAGAGUAUUGUAGAGGGGGGUAGAAUUCCAGGUGUAGCGGUGAAAUGCGUAGAGAUCUGGAGGAAUACCGGUGGCGAAGGCGGCCCCCUGGACAAAGACUGACGCUCAGGUGCGAAAGCGUGGGGAGCAAACAGG